rnacentral:piRNA from 1 species
ACCCAAAACGGGGCUCUCUCU